rnacentral:rRNA from 1 species
GACGAACGCUGGCGGCGUGCUUAACACAUGCCAGUCGAACGGAAAGGCCCUGCUUUUGGGGGGUGCUCGAGUGGCGAACGGGUGAGUAACACGUGAGUAACCUGCCCUUGACUUUGGGAUAACUUCAGGAAACUGGGGCUAAUACCGGAUAGGAGCUCCUGCUGCAUGGGGGGGGUUGGAAAGUUUCGGCGGUUGGGGAUGGACUCGCGGCUUAUCAGCUUGUUGGUGGGGUAUUGGCUUACCAAGGCUUUGACGGGUAGCCGGCCUGAGAGGGUGACCGGCCCCACUGGGACUGAGAUAAGGCCCAGACUUCUACGGGAGGCAGCAGUGCGGAAUCUUGCACAAUGGGCGGAAGCCUGACGCAGCAACGCCGCGUGCGGGAUGACGGCCUUCGGGUUGUAACCCGCUUUCGCCUGUGACGAAGCGUGAGUGACGGUAAUGUGUAAAGAAGCACCGGCUAACUACGUG